GGAUGCUGGGGGUCCCAUUUGGGUCUGGGGUCCCAGUUUGGGGUCUGGGGUCCCAGUUUGGGUCUGGGGUCCCAUUUGGGAUCUGGGGUCCCAGUUUGGGUCUGUGGUCCCAUUUGGGUCUGUGGUCCCAUUUGGGUCUGGGGUCCCAGUUUGGGUCUGGGGUCUCUCAGUGGGUCCCAUUUGGGUCUGGGGUCCCAGUUUGGGGUCUGGGUUCCCAGUUUGGGGUCCCAUUUGGGUCUGGGGUCUCACUGUACCCCGUUUCCCCCCCAGCUGGUUCGGGGUACCAACGUUUUUGGGGUCCCAGUUUGGGUCUGGGGUCCCAGUUUGGGUCUGGGGUCCCAGUUUGGGGUCUGGGGUCCCAUUUGGGUCUGGGGUCCCAGUUUGGGGUCCCAGUUUGGGGUCUGGGGUCCCAGUUUGGGGUCCCAGUUUGGGGUCUGGGGUCCCAGUUUGGGGUCUGGGGUCCCAUUUGGGUCUGGGGUCCCAGUUUGGGGUCUGGGGUCCCAUUUGGGUCUGGGGUCUCUCAGUGGGUCCCAUUUGGGUCUGGGGUCUCACUGUACCCCGUUCCCCCCAGCUGGUUAAGGGUACCAACGUUUUUGGGGUCCCAGUUUGGGGUCUGUGGUCCCAUUUGGGUCUGGGGUCUCUCAGUGGGUCCCAUUUGGGUCUGGGGUCUCUAUUUGGGUCUGGGGUCUCUCAGUGGGUCCCAUUUGGGUCUGGGGUCUCUAUUUGGGUCUGGGGUCUCACUGUACCCCGUUCCCCCCAGCUGGUUCGGGGUACCAAUGUUUUUGGGGUGCUCCGCGCCCCCCGCUCCCCCAGCACCGAGGCUCUGCUGCUGCUCGUGCCCUGCUCCGAGGGCAGCACCAACAACCAGGCCGUGGGGCUACUGCUGGCCCUGGCGGGCUACUGCAGGGGUCAGAUUUACUGGUCCGUACCGGUCCAUACCAGUCCAUACUGGUCCAUACUGGUGCAGGUCAGAUUUACUGGUCUGUACCAGUCAAUACCGAUCUGUACUGGUCCAUACUGGUUCAUACUGGUCCAUACUGGUCUAUACUGGUGCAGGUCAGAUUUACUGGUCCAUACCGGUCCAUACCGGUCCAUACUGGUCUGUACUGGUGCAGGUCAGAUUUACUGGUCCAUACUGGUCCAUACCGGUCCAUACUGGUCCAUACUGGUCCAUACUGGUCCAUACUGGUCCAUAC
rnacentral:lncRNA from 1 species